AACGAGAAAGUGGGAGCAAUCCCAUGAGUAAAGUGGCGAACGGGUGAGUAACAGGUGGGUAACGUGCCCCAAAGUGGGGGAUAACUCCGAGAAAUCGGAGCUAAUACCGCAUGUGGCCGUUUGGACUCAGGUUUGAACGGUUAAAGGUGCAGAUCGCUUUGGGAUCGGCCCGCCCCUGAUUAGGUAGUUGGUGAGGUAACGGCUCACCAAGCCUGCGAUCAGUAGCUGGUCUGAGAGGAUGGUCAGCCACACUGGGACUGAGAUACGGCCCAGACUCCUACGGGGGGCAGCAGUCUAGAGGCUUCGGCAAUGGGGGCAACCCUGACCGAGCGACGCCGCGUGUGGGAUCGAAGGCGUUUUCGUUGUAAACCACUGUUCUAGGGGAAGAAUACCGCGAUGGCGAAUCGCGGGGCGACGGUACCCUAGAAGAAAGCCCCGGCUAACUCCGUGCCAGCAGCCGCGGUAAUACGGAGGGGGCAAGCGUUGUUCGGAUUUACUGGGCGUAAAGGGAGUGUAGGCGGCCGAUCAAGUCCGAUGUGAAAGCCUUACCGCUUACCGGAAGGAGGUCAUCGGAAACUGAUUGGCUAGAGUAAGGUAGAGGCGAGCGGAAUUCCUGGUGUAGCGGUGGAAUGUGUAGAUAUCACGAAGAACAUCGGUGGCGAAAGCGGCUCGCUGGGCCUUUACUGACGCUGA
rnacentral:rRNA from 1 species